CAGUCUCUAUUUGCUGAGGACAAAUGAAAUGAACAUGAGUGUCAAUUGCACCUGCUGUAGCAAUCAAGCCUUCACCCGAAAUAACAUCAGUUGAAGGACCUAUCACCAUAUUAGGAGUAACUCCAUCCAUGACAUUUGGAUUCCCCGCUUUUCCAAUUCCGACUAUCUUACCAUCUUUAAUUCCUAUAUCUCCUUUUACAAUUCCCCACCAAUCUAUUAUCACAACAUUUGUUAUUACAAUAUCUAAAGCACUAUUAUUGCAAGCAAACUGAUUUUGGCUCAUUCCAUCUCUA
rnacentral:sRNA from 1 species